rnacentral:rRNA from 1 species
CUGCGGCAGCGACACUGUGUGUUGUUGGGUAGGGGAGCGUUCUGUAAGCCUGCGAAGGUGGCCUGUGAGGGUUGCUGGAGGUAUCAGAAGUGCGAAUGCUGACAUAAGUAACGAUAAAGCGGGUGAAAAGCCCGCUCGCCGGAAGACCAAGGGUUCCUGUCCAACGUUAAUCGGGGCAGGGUGAGUCGACCCCUAAGGCGAGGCCGAAAGGCGUAGUCGAUGGGAAACGGGUUAAUAUUCCCGUACUUGGUGUUACUGCGAAGGGGGGACGGAGAAGGCUAUGUUGGCCGGGCGACGGUUGUCCCGGUUUAAGCGUGUAGGUGUGUGUUCCAGGUAAAUCCGGUUCACUUUAACACUGAGGCGUGACGACGAGGCACUACGGUGCUGAAGCAACAAAUGCCCUGCUUCCAGGAAAAGCCUCUAAGCAUCAGGUAACAUCAAAUCGUACCCCAAACCGACACAGGUGGUCAGGUAGAGAAUACCAAGGCGCUUGAGAGAACUCGGGUGAAGGAACUAGGCAAAAUGGUGCCGUAA